rnacentral:rRNA from 1 species
CCUACGGGUGGCAGCAGUGAGGAAUAUUGCUCAAUGGACGAGAGUCUGAACCAGCAAAGUAGCGUGAAUGAUGACUGCCCUAUGGGCUGUAAACUUCUUUUAUAUGGAAAUAAAAUGUUGCACGUGUGGGAUUUUGUAUGUACCAUAUGAAUACAGAUCGGCGAACUCCGUGCCAGCAGCCGCGGUAAUACGGAGGAUCCGAGCUUUAUCCGGAUUGAUUGGGUUUAAAGGGAGCGUAGGUGGAUUGUUAAGUCAGUUGUGAAAGUGUGCGGCUCAACCGUAAUAUUGCAGUUGAAACUGGCAGUCUUGAGUACAGUAGAGGUGGGCGGAAUUCGUGGUGUAGCGGUGAAAUGCUUAGAUAUCACGAAGAACUCCGAUUGCGAAGGCAGCUCACUGGACUGCAACUGACACUGAGGCUCGAAAGUGUGGGUAUCAAACAGGAUUAGAUACCCGAGUAGUC